GACGAACGCGGGCGGCGUGCUUAACACAUGCAAGUCGAACGAUGAAGCCUAGCUUGCUAGGUGGAUUAGUGGCGAACGGGUGAGUAAUACGUGAGUGACCUACCUUUGACUCUGGGAUAAGCCUGGGAAACUGGGUCUAAUACCGGAUACGACCAAUCUCCGCAUGGGGUGUUGGUGGAAAGCGUUAUGGAGUGGUUUUAGAUGGGCUCACGGCCUAUCAGCUUGUUGGUGAGGUAAUGGCUUACCAAGGCGACGACGGGUAGCCGGCCUGAGAGGGUGACCGGCCACACUGGGACUGAGACACGGCCCAGACUCCUACGGGAGGCAGCAGUGGGGAAUAUUGCACAAUGGGCGCGAGCCUGAUGCAGCGACGCCGCGUGAGGGAUGACGGCCUUCGGGUUGUAAACCUCUGUUAGCAUCGAAGAAGCGAAAGUGACGUAG
rnacentral:rRNA from 1 species